GGUUCCAACGAAGCCCCAUUAUCCCAAUUGGAUCAUUAGAGAAGUUAGAGUUGGCUAAAAGCUCAACUAAUACCGGUGAGUGAACUGCAUCUCAAAAUCAUUUUGAGAUCGUGACUGUUUUGUACAAAGAACUUGAAUGAUUUUAUACAACUUUUUCUUAAAACAAGUGCCUUGGGAACAAGCUUUUACUAAAUGGUUUUAAGUUGUAAAAUGUGGUUGUUAUGGAUUCAUGCACUAUUUCAUUAUGAUGAUAUAUAUAUAUAUAUAUAUAUAUAUAUAUAUAUAUAUAUAUAUGUGUAUAUUNUGAUAUAUAUAUAUAUAUGUAUGUAUAUUGUGCAUGAUAAUUGACAUUGUGUAUGAUGACUAUAACCGUGUGUGUGCACAAUGUGAGGGGAUGCACAUGCCGGUGAUGAUGGUGGUGUGAGAGAUGGAUAAUGAUAGUGCCCGUGUGCGCGAUGUAAGGGGAUGUACACGAUGGCACUGAUUGUGCACGAUGUGGGGGGAUGCACAUGAUGGCACUGACUAUGUGCACAAUGUGAGGGGAUGUACAUAAGUCGGGUGUAAUUAUACUGAUAUUGGUGUUUAUCUAUGCAUUUAUAUAUAUACAUCUAUGUUUAUGAAAUCAAAGUCCAUGAGUAUGGUAUAUGGUUUUGCAUAUGUGAAUCUUGCAUGUUGAACAUUGAAAGUUGCUAAGUAUUGUUAAAUUGAUUUUCAUUGUAACAAGGAAUUUGGUUGCAGCGAAAUGGAUUCUCGCUGCCGCUAGAAAUUUUCGGUGGUGGUAUAGUACUGUCACUUUGACAGUGAUUUUUGACCACCUUUCAAUUAGAACUGGGCAAAGUGGUAAACAGUAAAGUCGUAGUCCUGCCUCUUAGCUUUCUAAUGACCCAACAAGCAUGUCAAUUGGACCCAUGUAGUGGAAGAUAUGCUUGAAAAACAGAACAAUAUACAAACUGAGAAUGCCUUUUUCUACAGUGAGAAACGUGUUGUCACGUUACUACCUUGCUCGGGUUCUGAUAUAAUUUCCUCCACUCCCUUUUCUUCAUGAUUGAGCAUGGGUUUUUACAAUACUAAGAGUCCACUGAUCAAUGACCAAAACAAGGGGGUUUGGGAAAAAAAUUAUACCAAAUUGCAUUGUUUUCAAAACAAGUGCAUCACGAUUUCCAAAUUCUUCCUUAUCAAUUGCUUGUUCCCUUCCUUGUUUACUUACUGGGUUUAUACUCACCGUUUUUAACUUCACGUUUUCAUAUUACGAGGUAGUUGGUAACUAGGUCGGGGUGCCUUUACAGACUCGACUAUUGGUAGGUGUUUCGGCAUUUAGUAGCUGUAUGUUCGUCGAGUUUUUUCGCUGGACAUCGAGUCUCCUAUUAACAUGUAUAGACAAAUCUGAUGUUAAUUAUUAAAAUACAUACUGUAGACAAUGUAUGCAUAUUUUAAACGAGUAGCGCCAAUACGAGUUGGCAAUGUCCAUCACUAUUUUGAUCUAAAG
rnacentral:lncRNA from 1 species